rnacentral:rRNA from 1 species
GACGAACGCUGGCGGCGUGCUUAACACAUGCAAGUCGAACGGUGAAGGGGCCUGCUUUUGUGGGUCCUGGAUGAGUGGCGAACGGGUGAGUAACACGUGAGUAACCUGCCCCCUUCUUCUGGAUAACCGCAUGAAAGUGUGGCUAAUACGGGAUAUUCUGGGUCUGUCGCAUGGUGGGCCUGGGAAAGGUUUUUUUCCGGUGGGGGAUGGGCUCGCGGCCUAUCAGCUUGUUGGUGGGGUGAUGGCCUACCAAGGCGGUGACGGGUAGCCGGCCUGAGAGGGUGGACGGUCACACUGGGACUGAGACACGGCCCAGACUCCUACGGGAGGCAGCAGUGGGGAAUAUUGCACAAUGGGCGCAAGCCUGAUGCAUCGACGCCGCGUGAGGGAUGGAGGCCUUCGGGUUGUGAACCUCUUUCGCCAGUGAAGCAGGCCUGCUCCUUUUUUGUGGGUGGGUUGACGGUAGCUGGAUAAGAAGCGCCGGCUAACUACGUGCCAGCAGCCGCGGUAAUACGUAGGGCGCGAGCGUUGUCCGGAAUUAUUGGGCGUAAAGAGCUCGUAGGCGGCUGGUCGCGUCUGUCGUGAAAUCCUCUGCCUUAACUGGGGGCUUGCGGUGGGUACGGGCCGGCUUGAGUGCGCUUUGGGAGGCUGGAACUCCUGGUGUAGCGGUGGAAUGCGCAGAUAUCAGGAAGAACACCGGUGGCGAAGGCGGGUCUCUGGGCCGUUACUGACGCUGAGGAGCGAAAGCGUGGGGAGCGAACAGGAUUAGAUACCCUGGUAGUCCACGCCGUAAACGUUGGGCACUAGGUGUGGGGGGCCUUUUCCGGGUCUUCCGCGCCGUAGCUAACGCAUUAAGUGCCCCGCCUGGGGAGUACGGCCGCAAGGCUAAAACUCAAAGGAAUUGACGGGGGCCCGCACAAGCGGCGGAGCAUGCGGAUUAAUUCGAUGCAACGCGAAGAACCUUACCAAGGCUUGACAUGUGCCGGUCUGCUCCGGAGACGGGGUUUCCUCCCUUGUGGGGGCUGGUUCACAGGUGGUGCAUGGUUGUCGUCAGCUCGUGUCGUGAGAUGUUGGGUUAAGUCCCGCAACGAGCGCAACCCUUGUCUCGUGUUGCCAGCACGUUGUGGUGGGGACUCGCGGGAGACUGCCGGGGUCAACUCGGAGGAAGGUGGGGAUGACGUCAAAUCAUCAUGCCCCUUAUGUCUUGGGCUUCACGCAUGCUACAAUGGCCGGUACAGAGGGCUGCGAUACCGUGAGGUGGAGCGAAUCCCUUAAAGCCGGUCUCAGUUCGGAUCGGUGUCUGCAACUCGACACCGUGAAGUUGGAGUCGCUAGUAAUCGCAGAUCAGCAACGCUGCGGUGAAUACGUUCUCGGGCCU